UAGAACCCUGUCAAAUACAUGAACACAUUAAUGACAAGGUUUGAAGUCUAUGUGAUGAGUGGAUAUUGACAAAAAACUAGGAUGAACACUUUAGCAGAGGUACCAGGUCACGGAGUGAAGAGGAAGCAGAACCCAGUCUGCCACCUCUCCUUUCACCAUCUCUCUUGCUUUCCUCACAGGAUUCCCACACAGGAUGCUCACAGACUUCUGCACUUCAGCCUCUGUGUCUUCCUUCAUACACUGUCUGACUCAAAGCAGAAGAAAGUAUCCUCCUUCCUGCAGGGGAUUCUGAUGCUACCUUCAGCCCCACACAGCAUCAUCUCUCCUCCACUCUCCUCCACUCUCCAUGUCGAUUGCAUUCAACUCAUGAGAACAACCCUUCACUGCACACCUUCAUGUCAUGGCUGGCUAUGA
rnacentral:lncRNA from 1 species